GACGAACGCUGGCGGCGUGCUUAACACAUGCAAGUCGAACGGAAAGGCCCUGCUUUUGUGGGGUGCUCGAGUGGCGAACGGGUGAGUAACACGUGAGUAACCUGCCCUUGACUUUGGGAUAACUUCAGGAAACUGGGGCUAAUACCGGAUAGGAGCUCCUGCUGCAUGGUGGGGGUUGGAAAGUUUCGGCGGUUGGGGAUGGACUCGCGGCUUAUCAGCUUGUUGGUGGGGUAGUGGCCUACCAAGGCUUUGACGGGUAGCCGGCCUGAGAGGGUGACCGGCCACAUUGGGACUGAGAGACGCCCCAGACUCCUACGGGAGCCAGCAGUGGGGAAUAUUGCACAAUGGGCGGAAGCCUGAUGCAGCAACGCCGCGUGCGGGAUGACGGCCUUCGGGUUGUAAACCGCUUUCGCCUGUGACGAAGCGUGAGUGACGGUAAUGGGUAAAGAAGCACCGGCUAACUACGUG
rnacentral:rRNA from 1 species